UACGGAGGGUGCGAGCGUUGUCCGGAAUUACUGGGCGUAAAGAGCUCGUAGGUGGUUUGUCGCGUUGUUCGUGAAAACUCACAGCUUAACUGUGGGCGUGCGGGCGAUACGGGCAGACUGGAGUACUGCAGGGGAGACUGGAAUUCCUGGUGUAGCGGUGGAAUGCGCAGAUAUCAGGAGGAACACCGGCGGCGAAGGCGGGUCUCUGGGCAGUAACUGACGCUGAGGAGCGAAAGCGUGGGGAGCGAACAGG
rnacentral:rRNA from 1 species